GACGAACGCUGGCGGCGUGCUUAACACAUGCAAGUCGAACGGAAAGGCCCUGCUUUUGUGGGGUGCUUGAGUGGCGAGCGGGUGAGUAACACGUGAGUAACCUGGCCUUGACUUUGUGAUAACUUCAGGAAACUGCGGCUAAUACCGGUUAGGAUCUUCUGCUGCAUGGUGAGCGUAGGAAAGUGUCGGCGGUUGGGGAUGGACUCGCGGCUUAUCGACUUGUUUGUGGGGUAGUGGCUUACCCAGCCUAUGACGGCUAGCCGGCCUGAGAGGGUGACCGGCCACAUUGGGACUGAGAUACGGCCCAGACUCAUACGGGAGGCAGCAGUGGGGAAUAUUGCACAAUGAGCGGAAGCCUGAUGCAGCAACGCCGCGUGCGGGAUGACGGCCUUCGGGGUGUAAACCGCUUUCGCCUGUGACGAAGCGUGCGUGACGGUAAUGGGUAAAGAAGCACCGGCUAACUACGUG
rnacentral:rRNA from 1 species